CCCUGGCAGUCAGAGGCGAUGAAGGACGUGCUAAUCUGCGAUAAGCGCCGGUAAGGUGAUAUGAACCGUUAUAACCGGCGAUUUCCGAAUGGGGAAACCCAGUGUGACUCGUCACACUAUCAUUAACUGAAUCCAUAGGUUAAUGAGGCGAACCGGGGGAACUGAAACAUCUAAGUACCCCGAGGAAAAGAAAUCAACCGAGAUUCCCCCAGUAGCGGCGAGCGAACGGGGAGGAGCCCAGAGCCUGAAUCAGCAUGUGUGUUAGUGGAAGCGUCUGGAAAGGCGCGCGAUACAGGGUGACAGCCCCGUACACAAAAGCGCAUGUGCUGUGAGCUCGAUGAGUAGGGCGGGACACGUGGUAUCCUGUCUGAAUAUGGGGGGACCAUCCUCCAAGGCUAAAUACUCCUGACUGACCGAUAGUGAACCAGUACCGUGAGGGAAAGGCGAAAAGAACCCCGGCGAGGGGAGUGAAAAAGAACCUGAAACCGU
rnacentral:rRNA from 2 species